rnacentral:tRNA from 1 species
GUAGGUAUAGCUCAGUGGUAGAGCACAUGUUUAGCAUGCACAUAGUCCUGGGUUCAAUCCCCAGUACCUCCA